ACACCGUUGGUGAAACGGUAUCAUGCGUCGUUGCCAUGUGCAGUCUCGACGCGGCAGGGGUUCGACUCCCUUACGGUGUA
rnacentral:tRNA from 1 species